GACGAACGCUGGCGGCGUGCUUAACACAUGCAAGUCGAACGGUGAAGCGCUUGCCUUUUUGGUGGGUGUGGAUGAGUGGCGAACGGGUGAGUAACACGUGAGUAACCUGCCCUCUUCUUCUGGAUAACCUCAUGAAAGUGGGGCUAAUACGGGGUAUUCCGGGUCUGUCGCAUGGCGGGUUUGGGAAAGAUUGCGCCUUUGGGUGUUUUCGGUGGGGGAUGGGCUCGCGGCCUAUCAGCUUGUUGGUGGGGUGAUGGCCUACCAAGGCGGUGACGGGUAGCCGGCCUGAGAGGGUGGACGGCCACACUGGGACUGAGACACGGCCCAGACUCCUGCGGGAGGCAGCAGUGGGGAAGAGUGCACAAUGGGCGCAAGCCUGAUGCAGCGACGCCGCGUGAGGGAUGGAGGCCUUCGGGUUGUGAACCUCUUUCGCCAGUGAAGCAGGCCUGCUCCUGUGUGGGUGGGUUGACGGUAGCUGGAGAAGAAGCGCCGGCUAACUACGUG
rnacentral:rRNA from 1 species